rnacentral:ncRNA from 1 species
UUCCUCUCCUGAAGAGAAGACUUUUGACGAGAUGAGAUAGUGACUAAAAUAAAAGACCAUUCCUAUGGAACGGUCAUUUCAAUGAGUUGAUCAUAAACCUUUUUUCGAGGAUCAAGUGGAGGGCAAGUCUGGUGCCAGCAGCCGCGGUAAUCCCAACUCUACUAGUGUAAAUCAUCAUUGCUGCGGUUAAAAAGCUCGCAGUUGGAUCUGAGUCGCAU